ACCAGUGUAGCCUAGUGGUUUGAGAGUUGGACUAUAACUCUGGAGACCUAGGUCUGAUUCCUAGCAUGGCCA